AGCGUACACGGUGGAUGCCCUGGCAGUCAGAGGCGAUGAAGGACGUGCUAAUCUGCGAAAAGCGUCGGUAAGGUGAUAUGAACCGUUAUAACCGGCGAUGUCCGAAUGGGGAAACCCAGUGCAAUUCGUUGCACUAUCGUUAACUGAAUACAUAGGUUAACGAGGCGAACCGGGGGAACUGAAACAUCUAAGUACCCCGAGGAAAAGAAAUCAACCGAGAUUCCCCCAGUAGCGGCGAGCGAACGGGGAGCAGCCCAGAGUCUGAAUCAGCUUGUGUGUUAGUGGAACGGUCUGGAAAGUCCGACGGUACAGGGUGAUAGUCCCGUACACCAAAAUGCACAGGUUGUGAACUCGAAGAGUAGGGCGGGACACGUGGUAUCCUGUCUGAAUAUGGGGGGACCAUCCUCCAAGGCUAAAUACUCCUGACUGACCGAUAGUGAACCAGUACCGUGAGGGAAAGGCGAAAAGAACCCCGGCGAGGGGAGUGAAAAAGAACCUGAAACCGUGUACGUACAAGCAGUGGGAGCACCUUCGGGUGUGACUGCGUACCUUUUGUAUAAUGGGUCAGCGACUUAUAUUCUGUAGCAAGGUUAACCGUAUAGGGGAGCCGCAGGGAAACCGAGUCUUAACUGGGCGUUAAGUUGCAGGGUAUAGACCCGAAACCCGGUGAUCUAGCCAUGGGCAGGUUGAAGGUUGGGUAACACUAACUGGAGGACCGAACCGACUAAUGUUGAAAAAUUAGCGGAUGACUUGUGGCUGGGGGUGAAAGGCCAAUCAAACCGGGAGAUAGCUGGUUCUCCCCGAAAGCUAUUUAGGUAGCGCCUCGUGAACUCAUCUUCGGGGGUAGAGCACUGUUUCGGCUAGGGGGUCAUCCCGACUUACCAACCCGAUGCAAACUACGAAUACCGAAGAAUGUUAUCACGGGAGACACACGGCGGGUGCUAACGUCCGUCGUGAAGAGGGAAACAACCCAGACCGCCAGCUAAGGUCCCAAAGUCAUGGUUAAGUGGGAAACGAUGUGGGAAGGCACAGACAGCCAGGAUGUUGGCUUAGAAGCAGCCAUCAUUUAAAGAAAGCGUAAUAGCUCACUGGUCGAGUCGGCCUGCGCGGAAGAUGUAACGGGGCUAAACCAUGCACCGAAGCUGCGGCAGCGACACUAUGUGUUGUUGGGUAGGGGAGCGUUCUGUAAGCCUGCGAAGGUGUGCUGUGAGGCAUGCUGGAGGUAUCAGAAGUGCGAAUGCUGACAUAAGUAACGAUAAAGCGGGUGAAAAGCCCGCUCGCCGGAAGACCAAGGGUUCCUGUCCAACGUUAAUCGGGGCAGGGUGAGUCGACCCCUAAGGCGAGGCCGAAAGGCGUAGUCGAUGGGAAACAGGUUAAUAUUCCUGUACUUGGUGUUACUGCGAAGGGGGGACGGAGAAGGCUAUGUUAGCCGGGCGACGGUUGUCCCGGUUUAAGCAUGUAGGCUGAUUGUCCAGGCAAAUCCGGAUAAUCAAGGCUGAGGUGUGAUGACGAGGCACUACGGUGCUGAAGUAACAAAUGCCCUGCUUCCAGGAAAAGCCUCUAAGCAUCAGGUAACAUCAAAUCGUACCCCAAACCGACACAGGUGGUCAGGUAGAGAAUACCAAGGCGCUUGAGAGAACUCGGGUGAAGGAACUAGGCAAAAUGGUGCCGUAACUUCGGGAGAAGGCACGCUGGUGUGUAGGUGAAGCCCCUGCGGGUGGAGCUGAGACCAGUCGAAGAUACCAGCUGGCUGCAACUGUUUAUUAAAAACACAGCACUGUGCAAACACGAAAGUGGACGUAUACGGUGUGACGCCUGCCCGGUGCCGGAAGGUUAAUUGAUGGGGUUAUCCGUAAGGAGAAGCUCUUGAUCGAAGCCCCGGUAAACGGCGGCCGUAACUAUAACGGUCCUAAGGUAGCGAAAUUCCUUGUCGGGUAAGUUCCGACCUGCACGAAUGGCGUAAUGAUGGCCAGGCUGUCUCCACCCGAGACUCAGUGAAAUUGAACUCGCUGUGAAGAUGCAGUGUACCCGCGGCAAGACGGAAAGACCCCGUGAACCUUUACUAUAGCUUGACACUGAACAUUGAGCCUUGAUGUGUAGGAUAGGUGGGAGGCUUUGAAGCGUGGACGCCAGUCUGCGUGGAGCCAACCUUGAAAUACCACCCUUUAAUGUUUGAUGUUCUAACGUUGGCCCCUUACCGGGGUUGCGGACAGUGUCUGGUGGGUAGUUUGACUGGGGCGGUCUCCUCCCAAAGCGUAACGGAGGAGCACGAAGGUUAGCUAAUCCUGGUCGGACAUCAGGAGGUUAGUGCAAUGGCAUAAGCUAGCUUGACUGCGAGCGUGACGGCGCGAGCAGGUGCGAAAGCAGGUCAUAGUGAUCCGGUGGUUCUGAAUGGAAGGGCCAUCGCUCAACGGAUAAAAGGUACUCCGGGGAUAACAGGCUGAUACCGCCCAAGAGUUCAUAUCGACGGCGGUGUUUGGCACCUCGAUGUCGGCUCAUCACAUCCUGGGGCUGAAGUAGGUCCCAAGGGUAUGGCUGUUCGCCAUUUAAAGUGGUACGCGAGCUGGGUUUAGAACGUCGUGAGACAGUUCGGUCCCUAUCUGCCGUGGGCGCUGGAGAAUUGAGGGGGGCUGCUCCUAGUACGAGAGGACCGGAGUGGACGCAUCACUGGUGUUCGGGUUGUCAUGCCAAUGGCACUGCCCGGUAGCUAAAUGCGGAAGAGAUAAGUGCUGAAAGCAUCUAAGCACGAAACUUGCCCCGAGAUGAGUUCU
rnacentral:rRNA from 1 species